GCCCGGGUGGCGAAACUGGUAGACGCUCAGGACUUAAAAUCCUCUGGCUUUCGGGCCGUGUGGGUUCGAAUCCCACCCCGGGCA
rnacentral:tRNA from 2 species